GAUCAUGGCUCAGGAUGAACGCUAGCUACAGGCUUAACACAUGCAAGUCGAGGGGCAGCAUGAAACUUAGCUUGCUAAGUUUGAUGGCGACCGGCGCACGGGUGAGUAACACGUAUCCAACCUACCGUUUACUACGGGAUAGCCUUCUGAAAAGGAGAUUAAUACCGUAUGGUAUUCUAAAGUUUCAUGACAUUAGAAUUAAAGGUUUACCGGUAAUCGAUGGGGAUGCGUUCCAUUAGAUAGUAGGCGGGGUAACGGCCCACCUAGUCAGCGAUGGAUAGGGGUUCUGAGAGGAAGGUCCCCCACAUUGGAACUGAGACACGGUCCAAACUCCUGCGGGAGGCAGCAGUGAGGAAUAUUGGUCAAUGGGCGAGAGCCUGAACCAGCCAAGUAGCGUAGAAGGAUGACUGCCCUAUGGGUUAGUAAACUUCUUUUAAUAAAGGAAUAAAGUGGUCCACGUGUGGAUUUUUGUAUGUACUUUAUGAAUAAGGAUCGGCUAACUCCGUGCCAGCAGCGGC
rnacentral:rRNA from 1 species